UACGUAGGGUGCGAGCGUUGUCCGGAAUUACUGGGCGUAAAGAGCUCGUAGGUGGUUUGUCGCGUUGUUCGUGAAAACUCACAGCUUAACUGUGGGCGUGCGGGCGAUACGGGCAGACUGGAGUACUGCAGGGGAGACUGGAAGUUCCUGGUGUAGCGGUGAAAUGCGCAGAUAUCAGGAGGAACACCGGUGGCGAAGGCGGGGUCUCUGGGCCGAUACUGACGUGAGGAGCGAAAGCGUGGGGAGCGAACAGGA
rnacentral:rRNA from 1 species